UACGGAGGAUGCAAGCGUUAUCCGGAAUGAUUGGGCGUAAAGCGUCCGCAGGUGGCAAUGUAAGUCUGCUGUCAAAGCGUCUGGCUCAACCAGAUAAAGGCAGUGGAAACUACAUAGCUAGAGUAAGGUAGGGGUAGAGGGAAUUCCUGGUGUAGCGGUGAAAUGCGUAGAGAUCAGGAAGAACACCGGUGGCGAAAGCGCUCUGCUGGACCUAAACUGACACUGAGGGACGAAAGCUAGGGGAGCAAAUGGG
rnacentral:rRNA from 1 species